rnacentral:rRNA from 1 species
AAUGAACGCUGGCGGUAUGCUUAACACAUGCAAGUCGAACGAACAAAGCUGGAGCUUGCUUCAGCCGCGUGAGUGGCAAACGGGUGAGUAACACGUGGGAAUCUACCCAUCAGUACGGAAUAACAUUUGGAAACAAAUGCUAAUACCGUAUAUUCUCUACGGAGGAAAGAUUUAUCGCUGAUGGAUGAGCCCGCGUAAGAUUAGGUAGUUGGUAGGGUAAUGGCCUACCAAGCCGACGAUCUUUAGCUGGUCUGAGAGGAUGAUCAGCCACACUGGGACUGAGACACGGCCCAG